UGUAUAUAAAAAGAGCUGCAUUCUUGCUUCGGUUCCUAUUCGAAUUUUCGACUUGAUCAGUGUUACGUUUAUCGUUACUGCAAAACCCCAACCAAUAUACAGAUCUUAAACUAAGGCUUGAAUAUGUCGAAAAAAAUAAAUAUUUGGGGCUUCUGCUUGUUGGCUGCAUUGAUGUUGCAAUUUGUCGUGGGUUGCCUCACCGUUGCACCAUUACUGUCUUGU
rnacentral:sRNA from 1 species